rnacentral:lncRNA from 1 species
GACCCCUUAAGGGGUUAUUGUCCUUUAAUGACAAUUUUUCACAAUUUGUUCAUCAUAUUUGCUAACUUUAAAAAAUCUUCUCCUCUAAAACUACUUAACCAAAUUCAACCAAACUUCAACUGAAUGAUCAGUAGGGUGUAUAAAAUAAAGUUUGUGCUUUAUUUUUUAUUUCGUCAAAAAACAUGGCCGUCAUGGCUAAAAAUAGAACACAGGGUAAAAUGCAGUUUUUGGCUUAUAUCUCAAAAACUCCAGCAUUUAGAGCAAAUAAGAC